AAGCUAUGAUGUGGGCAUUUAAGAAGCAAAUCAUGAAAACGCUCCCAAGUUUGAUGGAAUUGUUCUUCAUUUUUCCCUUUGAAAGUGCUUAUGGCAUUUCUCAUUAA